UGGGGGAUAUUGCGCAAUGGGGGAAACCCUGACGCAGCAACGCCGCGUGAAGGAAGAAGGUCUUCGGAUUGUAAACUUCUUUUGUCAGGGACGAAGAAAGUGACGGUACCUGACGAAUAAGCUCCGGCUAACUACGUGCCAGCAGCCGCGGUAAUACGUAGGGAGCGAGCGUUGUCCGGAUUUACUGGGUGUAAAGGGUGCGUAGGCGGCCGAGCAAGUCAGUUGUGAAAACUAUGGGCUUAACCCAUAACGUGCAAUUGAAACUGUCCGGCUUGAGUGAAGUAGAGGUAGGCGGAAUUCCCGGUGUAGCGGUGAAAUGCGUAGAGAUCGGGAGGAACACCAGUGGCGAAGGCGGCCUACUGGGCUUUAACUGACGCUGAGGCACGAAAGCAUGGGUAGCAAACAGGAUUAGAUACCCUGGUAGUCCAUGCCGUAAACGAUGAUUACUAGGUGUGGGGGGACUGACCCCUUCCGUGCCGCAGUUAACACAAUAAGUAAUCCACCUGGGGAGUACGGCCGCAAGGUUGAAACUCAAAGGAAUUGACGGGGGCCCGCACAAGCAGUGGAGUAUGUGGUUUAAUUCGAAGCAACGCGAAGAACCUUACCAGGUCUUGACAUCCUGAGAAUCCUUAAGAGAUUAGGGAGUGCCUUCGGGAACUCAGAGACAGGUGGUGCAUGGUUGUCGUCAGCUCGUGUCGUGAGAUGUUGGGUUAAGUCCCGCAACGAGCGCAACCCUUGCUAUUAGUUGCUACGCAAGAGCACUCUAAUAGGACUGCCGUUGACAAAACGGAGGAAGGUGGGGACGACGUCAAAUCAUCAUGCCCCUUAUGACCUGGGCUACACACGUACUACAAUGGCCAUUAACAGAGGGAAGCAAAACCGCGAGGCAGAGCAAACCCCUAAAAAUGGUCCCAGUUCGGAUUGUAGGCUGCAACCCGCCUACAUGAAGUUGGAAUUGCUAGUAAUCGCGGAUCAGCAUGCCGCGGUGAAUACGUUCCC
rnacentral:rRNA from 1 species